rnacentral:tmRNA from 1 species
GGGGCCGCCCGGUUUUGACAGCAUGAUCUUUGAACGUGUAAGCAUGUCGUGCGUUGGAUAAUUAGCACGUUAAUCUGAAUAUUCAAACCAUAAAUGGCGAAACUUCUUUCGCUAUGGCUGCCUAAUUCAUUUUAGGUUUCCAUACUGGCCGUUCAUUUCGGGUAGGUUUGUAACCCACGUUGAGCCGCCUUCACCAGAGAAUACGAACUGUUGUCUGAACAGGCUGUGAAGCAGACAAAAGACUUAUCCAGCUAAGGAAGAUAUAGGUUUGUUCUUGUCCGGCAUCUUCCCAACAAGCAAUCAGGAAAUAAGCAUGUAGAAAGCGUUUGCAGAAUGUGUUUGGACGCGGGUUCGAUUCCCGCCGGCUCCACAA